AUAACUGUUACAAUAAAGUGGGUAAAAUUGGAACAAAAAAUAGGUCGUGCUUUUUAUUUCAACUUUAAAUUGAUCUGUAUAUUUUUCUGGCAAA